UGGCGUAUUUGCUCUGUAAUGGGAUGGAAUCCGAAGCCCUCCGAGGGAUAAUAAAGGCUCUCCCAUCCAACUCCUAUUCCGACACGUCCUCGUCGUGCAUAGUGGGUAACAUGUGCCUCCAUAUAUCCUAGCUUGGCUACACGGGCUAGAUCCAACCCCUUGGGCGGAUGGUGGCAUAUGGGGAACCAGGAGGGG
rnacentral:ribozyme from 1 species